GAGGAACGCUGGCGGCGUGCUUAACACAUGCAAGUCGAACGGAAAGGCCCUGCUUUUGUGGUGUUCUCGAGUGGCGAACGGGUGAGUAACACGUGUGUAACCUGCCCUUGACUUUGGGAUAGCUUCAGGUAACUGGGGCUACUACCGGAUAGGAGCUCCUGCUGCAUGGUGGGGGUUGGAAAGUUUCGGCGGUUGGGGAUGGACUCGCGGCUUAUCAGCUUGUUGGUGGGGUAGUGGCUUACCAAGGCUUUGACGGGUAGCCGGCUUGAGAGGGUGACCGGCCACAAUGGGACUGAGAGACGGCGCAGACUCCUACGGGAGGCAGAAGGGGGGAAUAUUGCACAAUGGGAGGAAGCCGGAUGCAGCAACGCCGCGUGCGGGAUGACGGCCUGCGGGUUGUAAACCGCUGUCGCCUGUGACGAAGCGUGAGUGACGGUAAUGGGUAAAGAAGCACCGGCUAACUACGUG
rnacentral:rRNA from 1 species